CGGGUUUCACUCCUGGAUAUUACCGGUGCUAUCCGGCUGAGCGCCGGAUCAUCUUUGGUGUCUGAUUCGGUAUGAAUCGGGAGCACCUCUGCGUAGGCUUUAUCUUUUAAGGUUUGCACCACCUACGGUCUUGGAAAGCCCCCGCCCAGGCAGAGACCCCAAUUUUCAAGUAUUUCAGACAAAGUCGAAAU
rnacentral:sRNA from 1 species